rnacentral:lncRNA from 1 species
CUUCCUUUUCUCCUUUUUCUUCCGUUAAUUAAAUGUUUUAGAAAUAUAGGUAGGUGUUGGGCGUACAGAGAGGGAGAACGCAAGCAGCGGACAACUUCUCCCCGCAGAUCCGAUAGGCGUGCUGGGAUGGCAAACGAAGCGGGUCGGGUGCAGGGACACCAACUAUUGUAUUUUCAAAUUGUCCGAGCCCUGGACCCCGGCGGCUCCGCAACGGUGGCUGUCAACACCGCGAGCGAAGGUUCCACGAGCAGCGAGCGGCCUCGCCGGGACGGCCGCAGGUAGCAUGAUCUCUGACAUUUGGCAAAGGGAGAAGGUCCAACCUGUGCAGGGCAUUAUGGAAUAUUUGCUGAGGGUACAGGCAACUUUCCAGGACAGCUGUCUUCCAUGUGGGAGCUCCGAACCUCAGGCUAAUUCAAUCACGUGGCAUGUCCAUAACAAGUUCUUCCAUGAUUGCUGUGGCAGUGAAGAGAGAGUCUGCAUAGUCCUACAGGUAGUGUUCUCUGAAUUCUUAUUUUACCCAUAAACAAGUAUACCUCAUGAACAGCCUAAGUAUCUCAACCUAGAAUCCGUAACUUCACUCACCCCAAAGAGUUCAAUAUCGCAAAUCAUUUUAGUGCCACCAAAUUAGCUUCCAAUUCAUUUCAUUCCUUGGAAAUAAUGUGUUGGUAAAUAUUGAAUGUGCCAUGUAUGCUACCAGAGUCUCAAUUGCCCUAGGUAAAAUGAGAAAGAAAUAUUUAUAUCAAUGCUUUGAUAAAAAUUCUCGAAUAUUUCAUCAAUAGAUAACUGUGAACAUGUGAUACAUGGCUUAUAUUUGUCUCUUAGACUUCUUUGGACACACUUUGCUUUUCCUUUAAAUAAUACUCAUAAAUGUUAAAUACAAUGGACUUUGGAGUGAUUUUAUAGAUGGAAAUUAUGUUGUUUAUUUAAAGUGACUUGCCUUUAUUUUUCCCACUGGCUGUCAUUGUUUUGCAUUUGUUGUUCCCAUAAGUUUUCCAGGGAUUUUAUGGGCUCUAAAUUUCAAGUAGCUUGUAUUGCCCAUCAUUGAUUGAGGGAAAGAUAAUAUUUUAGUCAUGCUUCUCAUCUUGUGCAUAACCUGUGUUAGCCCCUCUGGAUUCUGGAUCAUGGCUUAUUCUGGUGUGAAAUGAAGUUGACUUUUUUAUUUUUAUUUUUAAUUUUUUUUAAUUUUUUGAUGUUUAUUUUUGAGAGAGAGAGAGAGAGAGAGAGAGCGAGCAGGGGAGGGGCCAAGAGAUAGAGAAGGAGACACAGAAUCCAAAGCAGGGUCCAGGCUCCAGGCUGUCAGCUCAGAGCCCUGCGCAGGGCUCCAAUGCGCGAACUGCAAGAUCAUGACCUGAGCUGGAGUCAGACGCUUAACCCACUGAGCCACCCAGGUGCCCCAGAAGUCAACUUUUUUAAAAGUUUAUUUAUUUAUUUUAAAAGAGAGAGGGAGAGAGAGUGCUUACACUCACAGGUGUGCAAGCAGGGGAGAGGCAGAGAGAGAGGGAGAGAGGGAAUCCCAAGCAGGUUCUAAUGCUGUUAGCCCUAAGCCCAACGCUUGGUUCUGUCUCCGACAGUGAGAUCAUGACCUGAGCUGAUAUCAAGAGUCGGAUGCUUAAUAAGAUGAGCCACCCAGGUGCCCCUGAAGUUGUGUUUCAUUUUAAAGGAGAGAACUUACUUCCAUAGUGAACUUUAAGGACAGAAUCAUGCCCUUUUGUUAGAACUGGAUAAAGAGCAAUUAGACACCAUAGUUAGAAAACCAUUGUAGUUGGUAUAUAAAUGUAACAAAUAAAAGAAUAUAUAUUGACA